GACGAACGCUGGCGGCGUGCUUAACACAUGCAAGUCGAACGGAAAGGCCCUGCUUUUGUGGGGUGCUCGAGUGGCGAACGGGUGAGUAUCACGUGAGUAACCUGUCCCUGACUUUGGGAUAUCUUCAGGAAACUGGGGCUAAUACCGCAUAGGAGCUCCUGCUGCAUGGUGGGGGUUGGAAAGAUUCGGCGGUUGGGGAUGGUCUCGCGGCUUCUCAGCUUGUGGGUGUGGUAGUGGAUUACCAAGGAUUCGACGGGUAGCCGGCCUGGAAGUGUGACCGGGUACAGGGGGACAGAGAGAAGGACAAGACGCAAACGGGAGGCAGCGGGGAGAAACAGCGGGAAAGGGGCGGAAGGAGGAGGGAGCAACGCCGCGUGCGGGAUGACGGCUUUCGGGGUGUAAACCGUGUGUGCGUGUGACGAAGCGUGAGUGACGGUAAUGGGUAAAGAGGCACGGGCUAACUCCGU
rnacentral:rRNA from 1 species